GAUGAACGCUGGCGGCGUGCCUAAUACAUGCAAGUCGAGCGAAUGGAUUAAGAGCUUGCUCUUAUGAAGUUAGCGGCGGACGGGUGAGUAACACAUGGGUAACCUGCCCAUAAGACUGGGAUAACUCCGGGAAACCGGGGCUAAUACCGGAUAACAUUUUGAACCGCAUGGUUCGAAAUUGAAAGGCGGCUUCGGCUGUCACUUAUGGAUGGACCCGCGUCGCAUUAGCUAGUUGGUGAGGUAACGGCUCACCAAGGCAACGAUGCGUAGCCGACCUGAGAGGGUGAUCGGCCACACUGGGACUGGAACACGGCCCAGACUACUACGGGAGGCAGCAGUAGGGAAUCUUCCGCAAUGGACGAAAGUCUGACGGAGCAACGCCGCGUGAGUGAUGAAGGCUUUCGGGUCGUAAAACUCUGUUGUUAGGGAAGAACAAGUGCUAGUUGAAUAAGCUGGCACCUUGACGGUACCUAACCAGAAAGCCACGGCUAACUACGUGCCAGCAGCCGCGGUAA
rnacentral:rRNA from 1 species